GCGGCGCUUUCCAUGCAGUCGAACGGCAGCGGGGGCUUCGGCCUGCCGGCGAGUGGCGAACGGGUGAGUAACGCAUCGGAACGUGCCCAUGUCGUGGGGGAUAACGUAUCGAAAGGUACGCUAAUACCGCAUACGUCCUGAGGGAGAAAGCGGGGGAUCUUCGGACCUCGCGCGAUUGGAGCGGCCGAUGUCGGAUUAGCUAGUAGGUGAGGUAAAGGCUCACCUAGGCGACGAUCCGUAGCGGGUCUGAGAGGAUGAUCCGCCACACUGGGACUGAGACACGGCCCAGACUCCUACGGGAGGCAGCAGUGGGGAAUUUUGGACAAUGGGCGCAAGCCUGAUCCAGCCAUGCCGCGUGAGUGAAGAAGGCCUUCGGGUUGUAAAGCUCUUUCGGCCGGGAAGAAAUCGUGGUCUCUAACAUAGGUCAUGGAUGACGGUACCGGACUAAGAAGCACCGGCUAACUACGUGCCAGCAGCCGCGGUAAUACGUAGGGUGCGAGCGUUAAUCGGAAUUACUGGGCGUAAAGCGUGCGCAGGCGGUUUUGUAAGACAGAUGUGAAAUCCCCGGGCUUAACCUGGGAACUGCGUUUGUGACUGCAAGGCUAGAGUACGGCAGAGGGGGGUGGAAUUCCUGGUGUAGCAGUGAAAUGCGUAGAUAUCAGGAGGAACACCGAUGGCGAAGGCAGCCCCCUGGGCCUGUACUGACGCUCAUGCACGAAAGCGUGGGGAGCAAACAGGAUUAGAAACCCUGGUAGUCCACGCCCUAAACGAUGUCGACUAGUCGUUCGGAGCAGCAAUGCACUGAGUGACGCAGCUAACGCGUGAAGUCGACCGCCUGGGGAGUACGGCCGCAAGGUUAAACUCAAAGGAAUUGACGGGGACCCGCACCAGCGUGGAUGAUGUGGAUUAAUUCGAUGCACGCGAAAACCUUACCUACCCUUGACUGUCUGGAACCUUGCUGAAAAGGGAGGGUGCUUCGGAGCCAAAAACAGUGCUGCUGGCUGUCUCCACUNGGUCUGGAAUGUUGGGUAGUCCCCACANNNNACCUUGNNNAGUGCAUCAUUGGUGGNNNNAUGGAACUGGCGGANACGAGNAGUGGGUGAGCUCANNCCUNGGCUAGNNGCUCACCUUACAUGUNGUCAAGGGUCNC
rnacentral:rRNA from 1 species